ensembl:lncRNA
AUAGGGCGCUUUCCCUUUAAUUCCCAAUUAAAUAGCCAGCAUCAGCUGCGCAAAAGUGGGGUUGUGAUGGAGACGUGAAUGAGGACGUGUUCAACCCUCAGUUCCGUUUGUUUUGUAGCCUAAUAGAGUUUACCCAGGAUCGGAUCCACUCUUUGCGUCCGUGGACUACACCUCUCCGUUCUUCGUGGCCUUUCUCCGCUGGAGAUCUGUUGGCGGAUUGGAUUGUCUGACUGACCGACUACCACCUUUUUGUAUACGGAGUGAAACCCGGUGGGGCCGUCUGCUGCAAUAGACCAUCCGUGACACGGACCGACGAGAUGUGUGUUACGAGAUGCCAUUCUGCAAACAACUGUUGUACUGUACUUUUAUUUGCCUGUUCGGGGCUGCCUGUUAUCUUGCAUGAUUCUUGCCAUUCACCUUCGACCUCUCAUCAACGAGCUAUUUUUGCCCACAGGACUGCCUCUGACUGGAUGUUUUUUUUUGUCACACCCUUCUCUGGAGGCAUUCCUUCUCAGCCCUAGACACAGUCUUGCGUGAAAAGUCCAGGAGGCCGACCGUUUCUAAAAUUCUGGAACCGGCGCACCUGGCACUGACGAUCAUAUCACUCUCAAAGUCGCUUAGGUCACACAUUUUGCCCAUUUUAACAUUCAACUGAACACUAACCCAAUGCCUGUAUGCCUGCAUUAUAUAGCAAGCCAUGGCCACAUGAGUAAUUGGUGGUGUACCUAAUAAACUGGCCACUCACUGAGCGUACUUUUGAAUGUUAUUCUCUGAAUGAUGAGAUGGGGAUAAUGUGCACUAUUUCUGAAAACCAACUUUGAAAUUCUAGUAAAGUGGAAUAUUAAUAAAUUCCCCAUUAAAGUAGUUCACAAUUGGCUCCUGGCAGCACACACAUUAACUUAAGCAUGUUAUUUUUUUACUGUAUGAUUUUAUGUUUUACUAUGUCCCGGUCAGUAAACUUGUCACGAAAUAAUGAAAAAGUCAUUUUUAACAAUCCAACAAAAGGCCUGAGGAAUGCCACAUUCAAAACAACUGGGAACUCAAAAAUAUGAGGUCAAAUCAUGAAGUCAGUAAUCUUCUGGUGGGAAAGUCAGAGCUCUAGAAAGCAGUGACCAUGUUGUGCUGCUGCCAUGUCAUGUGUUGCUAACAUGCUGUGUUGGUGUCUUAGAGAGAGACCUAUGUGGUGUCUCCCUUGUUGUGAUGUGUCCUACGCAGGGGGCCUUUUGCCUUUUGGUUGGCCGUCAUUGCAAAUAAGAAUUUGUUCUUAACUGACUAGUUAAAUAAAGGUGAAAUCAAAUAAAAGGCUCCCGAGCGGGAAUUCCCGAUUUGGAUGAGAUUUCAACAAAAAAAAUCCCAGUCUGUGCUCGUUCUUUUCCCCGGAGUUCCCAGAUGUUUUGAAUGCACUGAAGUAGAAUGUUGGAGGUUCCCAGUUCUGAGUUCCUAGUUGCUUUGAAUGCGGCAUAAGCCAGGGGUAGACAGCCCUGGGCCUCUACGCAUCAGUGCUGAUCUAGGAUCAGGUCCCCUAUGUCGAUGUCCUCUUAUUCAUUAUGAUCUAAAAGGCC